rnacentral:rRNA from 1 species
GGGCAACCCUGAUCCAGCAAUGCCGCGUGCAGGAAGAAGGCCUUCGGGUUGUAAACUGCUUUUGUACGGAACGAAAAGGCUCUGGUUAAUACCUGGGGCACCUGACGGUAUCGUAAGAAUAAGCACCAGCUAACUACGUGCCAGCAGCCGCGGUAAUACGUAGGGUGCAAGCGUUAAUCGGAAUUACUGGGCGUAAAGCGUGCGCAGGCGGUGCUGUAAGACAGGCGUGAAAUCCCCGGGCUUAACCUGGGAAUGACGCUUGUGACUGCAUUUCUGGAGUGUGGCAGCGGGGGAUGGAAUUCCGCAUGUAGCAGUGAAAUGCGUAGAUAUGCGGAGGAAAACCGAUGGCGAAGGCAAUCC